rnacentral:tRNA from 1 species
AUGUAGAGCAGUGGACAGCUUAAUUGGCUCAUAACCAAAAGGUCGCGGGUUCGAAUCCCGCCAUCGCAACCAAAAUA